UACGUAGGGUGCAAGCGUUGUCCGGAAUUAUUGGGCGUAAAGGGCUCGUAGGCGGUUUGUCGCGUCUGCUGUGAAAACCCGAGGCUCAACCUCGGGCCUGCAGUGGGUACGGGCAGACUAGAGUGCGGUAGGGGAGAUUGGAAUUCCUGGUGUAGCGGUGGAAUGCGCAGAUAUCAGGAGGAACACCGAUGGCGAAGGCAGAUCUCUGGGCCGUAACUGACGCUGAGGAGCGAAAGCAUGGGGAGCGAACAGG
rnacentral:rRNA from 1 species